rnacentral:rRNA from 1 species
AGAGUAUAGGCGCCGGCUUACACAUGCAAGUCGAACGGUAACAUAGAAAGCUUGCUUUCUGAUGACGAGUGGCGCACGGGUGCGUAACGCGUAUGCAACCUACCUCUUACAGGAGGAUAGCCCCGAGAAAUCGGGAUUAAUACUCCAUAGUAUCAUAAUAUCGCAUGGUAUAAUGAUUAAAGUUUCGGCGGUAAGAGAUGGGCAUGCGUUCCAUUAGCUAGAUGGUGAGGUAACGGCUCACCAUGGCGACGAUGGAUAGGGGGUCUGAGAGGAUUAUCCCCCACACUGGUACUGAGACACGGACCAGACUCCUACGGGAGGCAGCAGUGAGGAAUAUUGGUCAAUGGAGGCAACUCUGAACCAGCCAUGCCGCGUGCAGGAUGACGGCCCUACGGGUUGUAAACUGCUUUUAUAUAGGAAGAAACCUUCUUACGUGUAGGAAGCUGACGGUACUAUAUGAAUAAGGAUCGGCUAACUCCGUGCCAGCAGCCGCGGUAAUACGGAGGAUCCAAGCGUUAUCCGGAAUCAUUGGGUUUAAAGGGUGCGUAGGCGGAUUAAUAAGUCAGAGGUGAAAUCCUGCAGCUCAACUGUAGAACUGCCUUUGAUACUGUUAGUCUUGAAUCUAGUUGAAGUAGGCGGAAUGUAACAUGUAGCGGUGAAAUGCAUAGAGAUGUUACAGAACACCGAUUGCGAAGGCAGCUUACUAAGCUAGUAUUGACGCUGAUGCACGAAAGCGUGGGGAGCGAACAGGAUUAGAUACCCUGGUAGUCCACGCCGUAAACGAUGAUAACUCGUUGGUGGCGAUAAACAGUCACUGACCAAGCGAAAGUAUUAAGUUAUCCACCUGGGGAGUACGCCGGCAACGGUGAAACUCAAAGGAAUUGACGGGGGCCCGCACAAGCGGUGGAGCAUGUGGUUUAAUUCGAUGAUACGCGAGGAACCUUACCCGGGCUUAAAUGUAGAUUGCAUGAUUUGGAAACAGAUCUUUCCUUCGGGACUAUUUAACAAGUGCUGCAUGGCUGUCGUCAGCUCGUGCCCGUGAGUGUCGGUAAGUCCCAUAACGAGCGCAACCCUUGUCGUUAGUUGCCAGCAAGUUAAGUUGGGGACUCUUAGCGAGGCUGCCGUGCAACCGCGAGGAUGGUGGGAUGACGUCAGGUCAGCACGUCUACGUCAGGCCACAACACGUGCUACAAUGUAGUAACAGAAGGGCAGCUUACUC